AUUUGCUCCCGACCCGCUUUUGGGGCGUGCCUGCUUCCUCCUCUCUGUUAGGUGAGUGAGUAGGCGUCAUUCUUCACAGUAGUCCUCUGCCUCCACCGCCCCGGGAUCUCCUUGCGCUCGGUCCUCUACGUGGAGUCACCUAUGCAGAGGAAUUCCACGGGGCGGGGGCGAGGACAGGGUGCGGGGGUCUUUAUGGCAGACAAUCCCCGGCUGAGCGCUUGGCCAGAGUUUCUGUGAUGCUAGAAUCUGGACUGCCUGCGACCUCUCCGGGACUCGGACACCAGCCCUCGCCUCCUGGUGAUCUUUUAGGUCCUGCAGAGAAGUGAAGAGAUGAGCCCCAGAGAGGCGAAGCCACUUGAGCUCGUGAGUGACAGUCAGAUGUCAAGCCCUGCUCUUUCUAAAGCGUGCUGCCUUCAGAAAAGAAGAGCCAGAAGGAUGGAAAUUACUUCAGAAAGAUGAAUACCAGCUUUGAAGGAAUAAAAGCUGACGAGGAAUUGAAGGAGUUGAGGCACGAGCUUGAACAGGGUUGCAUGUUUGGCCCUUGAUUGUAAAUGCCCAUUGCUGCACCUGUUCCUGUUACUUGGGGAGUUGCAGCAGAAGGAACAGCGGCCUGGGACUCCAGAGAACUGGGUUCCCUCUCAUCCCUCCAGGGCCACCACUUCUUGUGGGCCCUUGGGCAAGUCACUGUACUUUCUGAGUCUCAGUUUCCCCAUUUGCAGAAUGGAAAUAACUACCCCGGUCUACCAACUUAGAAGAAUUGCUUUGAGGAUCUGAUAAGGUGGUGUGGAUGAUGCUGCCUUGGGGGCUUUACAGUCUGGAGCUCAAGGGACCCCUUAAGUUGGGCUUACUUAGUAACUCCAGGGGUGGGCAGAACAGGACUCCAAUGAGGGUUUUUUUCUUUUUCCCUUUUUUUUCUUUUCCUAUCUCUUAACUUUUAUCUUUAUUAUUUUACAAUGCCCUUGUAAGAUGAAACAAGUGAUGCUGAAAUAUCUUUUUCUUUUUUAACCUUUAUUUUAGAAUUGGGGUACAUGUGCAGGUUUGUUACAUAGGUACAGUGUGGGCUGCUGAGGUUUGGGAGUACGAAUGAAUUAGUCACCCCAGUGGUGAGCAUAGUGCCCGAUAAGUGGUUUUUUCAACCCUUACUCCCAUCCCUCUCCAUUCUUGUGUUCCCCAGUGUCUGCUGUUCCCAUUUUUAUGACCAUGUGUACUCAAUGUUUAGCUCCCACUUAGAAGUAAGAACAUGCCCAGCACUUUGGGAGGCCGAGGUGGGUGGAUCAUGAGGUCAAGAGAUCGAGACCAUCUUGGCUAACAAAGUGAAACCCUGUCUCUACUAAAAACAUAAAAAAUUGGCCGGGUGUGGUGGUGGGCACCUGUAGUCCUAGCUACUCGGGAGGCUGAGACAGGAGAAUCGCCUGAACCGGGGAGGUGGAGGUUGCAGUGAGCUGAGAUUGUACCACUGCACUCCAGCCUGGGUGACAGAGUGAGACUCCAUCUCAAAAAAAUAAAAAUAAAAAAAUAAAAAGAAUGU
rnacentral:lncRNA from 1 species